rnacentral:lncRNA from 1 species
UCUGGCUGACCAGGGCAGUCACCAGAGCUCCAGACAAUGUCUGUCUCCUUCCUCAUCUUCCUGCCCGUGCUGGGCCUCCCAUGGGGUGUCCUGUCACAGGUACAGCUGCAGCAGUCAGGUCCAGGACUGGUGAAGCCCUCGCAGACCCUCUCACUCACCUGUGCCAUCUCCGGGGACAGUGUCUCUAGCAACAGUGCUGCUUGGAACUGGAUCAGGCAGUCCCCAUCGAGAGGCCUUGAGUGGCUGGGAAGGACAUACUACAGGUCCAAGUGGUAUAAUGAUUAUGCAGUAUCUGUGAAAAGUCGAAUAACCAUCAACCCAGACACAUCCAAGAACCAGUUCUCCCUGCAGCUGAACUCUGUGACUCCCGAGGACACGGCUGUGUAUUACUGUGCAAGAGACACAGUGAGGGGAAGUCAGUGUGAGCCCAGACACAAACCUCCCUGCAGGGAUGCUCAGGACCCCAGAAGGCACCCAGCACUACCAGCGCAGGGCCCAGACCAGGAGCAGGUGUGGAGUUAAGCAAAAAUGGAACUUCUUGCUGUGUCUUAAACUGUUGUUGUUUUUUUUUUUUUUUUGGCUCAGCAACAGAGAUCAUAGAAAACCCUUUUUCAUAUUUUUGAAAUCUGUUCUUAGUCUAAUGGAGAUUCUCUAAUAUGUGACAAUGUUUUUCUCUUGCUGUUUUUGGAAUUCUUUGUCUUUGACUUUUGACAACUUGACUUUUGACAGUGUGCCUCAAAGAAGUUCUAUUUUGGGUUCUGUGAACCUCCUGGAUCUGGGAAGUUUUCAGCUAUGAUUUCAUUAAACGUGUUUUCUACACC